AACACUGUUAACCUGCGGUACCUGCGGAAGGAUCAUUACAGAGUUGCAGAACUCCCUAAACCAUUGUGAACGUUACCUAAACCGUUGCUUCGGCGGGCGGCCCGGGUCCUUCCCGGCGCCCCUCGGCCCUCGCGGGCGCCCGCCGGAGGUAAACCAAACUAUUGCAUUGUAUGGCCUCUCUGAGUCUUCUGUACUGAAUAAGUCAAAACUUUCAACAACGGAUCUCAGAUCGGAAGAGCA
rnacentral:misc_RNA from 1 species